rnacentral:rRNA from 1 species
GAAUUACUGGGCGUAAAGCGCACGUAGGCGGAUUGUUAAGUUAGGGGUGAAAGCCUGGAGCUCAACUCCAGAACUGCCUUUAAUACUGGCAAUCUCGAGUCCGGAAGAGGUAAGUGGAACUCCUAGUGUAGAGGUGGAAUUCGUAGAUAUUAGGAAGAACACCAGUGGCGAAGGCGGCUUACUGGUCCGGUACUGACGCUGAGGUGCGAAAGCGUGGGGAGCAAACAG